UGGGGAAUAUUGCACAAUGGGCGCAAGCCUGAUGCAGCCAUGCCGCGUGUGUGAAGAAGGCCUUCGGGUUGUAAAGCACUUUCAGCGAGGAGGAAGGUGGUGAGCUUAAUACGCUCAUCAAUUGACGUUACUCGCAGAAGAAGCACCGGCUAACUCCGUGCCAGCAGCCGCGGUAAUACGGAGGGUGCAAGCGUUAAUCGGAAUUACUGGGCGUAAAGCGCACGCAGGCGGUUUGUUAAGUCAGAUGUGAAAUCCCCGGGCUCAACCUGGGAACUGCAUUUGAAACUGGCAAGCUAGAGUCUCGUAGAGGGGGGUAGAAUUCCAGGUGUAGCGGUGAAAUGCGUAGAGAUCUGGAGGAAUACCGGUGGCGAAGGCGGCCCCCCUGGACGAAGACUGACGCUCAGGUGCGAAAGCGUGGGGCAGCAAACAGGAUUAGAUACCCUGGUAGUCCACGC
rnacentral:rRNA from 1 species